GCAUCUCCCUUACACUGAGAAGUUACCCGUGCAAAUCGGGUUACCCU
rnacentral:tRNA from 1 species